UCAUAGUGAUAAUCCUACGUAAUAUGUAGAUAUCAAGUACUUAUCUAUAGUGUACAUACAUUUUGCGAUGAAGCUGAAAAUUCUAUUUGUAAAAUAGUUAUUAUUGUACCUACGGAUUGACAACAAUAAAUGAAAAUAGUAUUGUUGAUUUUAGUUUUUGGCCCAAAAACUUCACAUAUUAUAUGCUAUUUUGUUGAAAUGAGCUUUUACCGCAGGGGAGCUAAUAAUAUUGUUAUUUACUGAUCUUGGGCUUUUUACUUUCUCUUAAGAAAAUUAUGGAAGAGUGUACUAUAUUAGGUAUCUCCUGAAUAAAAAGUUUUACCAGCGGGACCAAGUCCAUUGAAAAUGCCAAAAAGUAUUCCGUAAAGAAGUUCCCACGCAUCUUCUUCGUCAAGAUUUAUUAACUUUCAAAGUUUAGGAAUUUCAUUGUUAUUAUUAUUUAAAAAAAAAAAAAAGAUGUUACAAUAAAACAUUAAGAAUUAUGCCAUACAUUUUUCUUCCGCUAGUAAACUUAUAAAGUCAAACCGAAGAAAACGGAGAAAACUCCUGACACUGUUCCCCUGAUUUUUUACUGAAAAUGGAACAGCGAUAUUGUUUUUUCGGAAAAGCCACUUUUGUAUUUUGUUCUACUGAUAAACGAAAAAACUUCAUCCUAAAUCUAUGAUAGAAAAUUGUAUGGUCUUUUCAAUAGUGAGGUAUUCUUUUCAUGGUUUUCUUACGAAAAACUAGUGAAAUGUCCAAUAAGCCAUCAGUAAAUAUCAAUAUUAGAAGCUCUGCUUGGACGAGAGUUCUUCUCAUAUUAAGUAUUUACAAGUUAGUAUUAAACCUGUGCGUACGAAAAAAUAAUUUUUGAAGCACCCCAAGAAAAGAUGGCUAAGCGUAAUUUAUUGUUUACUAAUAGAAGAAAGAUAUUGUAUGAGAAAGCAAGUAGAUAAGCCAGUGUGUGAUGCCAGACAAAGUAAAAAUAAGAUAACAAUAGUACCUUUUUAAGUAAUUCAUCCAUUGUUAGUAACCCUUUUAAAGUUUGUUUAUUCACCACUUGAAUUUUGAAUUAAACGGUAUAGUUUAUAGUAUGUUCACUACUACGACAAAAACGGUUUAAA